GACGAACGCUGGCGGCGUGCCUAAUACAUGCAAGUAGGACGCAGUUGCGAACGGGUGAGUAACGCGUAGGAACCUUCCUAUUAGAGGGGGAUAACUAUUGGAAACGCUAGCUAAUACCGUACGCUAGUAGAUGUACCUGCGUUGUAUUAGCUAGUAGGUAGGGUAAUGGCCUACCUAGGCAACGAUACAUAGCAGACCUGAGAGGGUGAUCAAGCACACUGGAACUGAGAAACGGGCCAUACUCCUACGGGAGGCAGCAGUGGGGAAUAUGGGACAAUGGGCGAAAGCCUGAUCCAGCCAUGCCGCGUGUGUGAAGAAGGUCUUCGGAUUGUAAAGCACUUUAAGUUGGGAGGCGUUACCAACAGAAUAAGCACCGGCUAACUUCGUGCCAGCAGCCGCGGUAAUUC
rnacentral:rRNA from 1 species